rnacentral:lncRNA from 1 species
GUUUGAGUGCAAGUAAUUCAAGAGAUUCAAUAACGCUGGGUUUCAGCCCAAUGCCUGUCAGCCCGAGCUCAACAAAUUCUCUAGUGUCUGUGAUGAGGCGACUCAACAGUUCCUAACCUAAAAUUCUCAUGUAUCCACGUCAACGGGCUGAAGUAAGUGAUUUUCCAACAUCUUCAAGUGUCCCCGGGCCGUCUCGAGAGUCCCAAAGCAAUUCAAUUGCUUCUCAAACCAAGUGUCCGUUUCCCAGCAACUUC